AUGACCCCAACUCACUGAAUCCAAAGCAAGGGUCGAUCUGGCAUGAUGAAGAUCUCCACUUACAUUUGCCCUGCUCUGUGGCUCUUCUUGGCUGCUAACAGCAGCAAAGUCUUUGGUUCUUCUGAAUCUAUCACUUUGGCCCAACCCAGGACAGUGAAGGCAUCCCCAGGGGGCUCUAUUACUCUGGACUGUGUAGUAUCUGGAUAUAAUAUCAAUGAUCACCACAUGCAAUGGAUCCGUCAAGCCCCUGAAAAAGGCCUUAUCAACAUAGCAAGCUUCAGAACUGGAUAUCCCGCAUAUGUUGCCAAUGAAUUGAAAGGACGUGCAACCCCCUUCACCAGUGGCUCGACGGCAAAGCUAACGAUAAGUGCUCUGACAGCUGAGGACACGAGUGUCUACUAUUGUGCAACAGAUACACACCAGCAGAAGUCAGGCUUGCCAUUGUACAAUAUCCUCUAG